rnacentral:rRNA from 1 species
CCUACGGGAGGCAGCAGUAGGGAAUAUUGCUCAAUGGGGGAAACCCUGAAGCAGCAACGCCGCGUGGAGGAUGAAGGUUUUCGGAUUGUAAACUCCUUUUGUUAGAGAAGAUAAUGACGGUAUCUAACGAAUAAGCACCGUCUAACUCCGGGCCAGCAGCGGCGGUAAUACGGAGGGUGCAAGCGUUACUCGGAAUCACUGGGCGUAAAGAGCGCGUAGGCGGGAUAGCAAGUCAGAUGUGAAAUCCUAUGGCUUAACCAUAGAACUGCAUUUGAAACUGUUAUUCUAGAGUAUGGGAGAGGUAGGUGGAAUUCUUGGUGUAGGGGUAAAAUCCGUAGAGAUCAAGAGGAAUACUCAUUGCGAAGGCGACCUGCUAGAACAUAACUGACGCUGAUGCGCGAAAGCGUGGGGAGCGAACAGGAUUAGAUACCCUUGUAGUC